rnacentral:rRNA from 1 species
UGGGUAACCUGCCUCAAUGAGGGGAAUAGCCUCCCGAAAGGGAGAUUAAUACCGCAUAAUAUGUUUAGAUUGCAUGAUCUUAACAUCAAAGGAGUUUCUUCGGAAAUUCCACUUUGAGAUGGACCCGCGGCGCAUUAGCUAGUUGGUGAGGUAACGGCCCACCAAGGCAACGAUGCGUAGCCGACCUGAGAGGGUGACCGACCACACUGGGACUGAGACACGGCCCAGACCUCUACGGGA